CCCUUAGAUGUUCUGGGCCGCACGCGCGCUACACUGAUGCAUUCAACAAGUUCUACCUUGGCCGAGAGGCCUGGGAAAUCUUUCAAAUAUGUAUCGUGAUAGGGAUAGAUUAUUGCAAUUAUUAAUCUUGAACGAGGAAUUCCUAGUAUAUGCAGAUCAUCAUUCUGCGUUGAUUACGUCCCUGCCCUUUGUACACACCGCCCGUCGCACCUACCGAUUGAAUGAUCCGGUGAAGCCUCGGGAUUGUGCCCAGAGAACUUUAUUGUGAUUUGGGUGUGAGAACUUGUCUAAACCUUAUCAUUUAGAGGAAGGUGAAGUCGUAACA
rnacentral:rRNA from 1 species